rnacentral:rRNA from 1 species
AGCGAACGCUGGCGGCGUACUUAACACAUGCAAGUCGAACGGGGAUCACGACGUGAGCAAUCACGACGUGGUUCUAGUGGCGCACGGGUGAGUAACACGUGGGCAACCUGCCCUCGAGAUCGGGAUACCCCCUCGAAAGGGGGGCUAAUACCGGAUACGCUCUUCGGGUCGCAAGAUCUGGGGAGGAAAGGUGGCGCAAGCUGCCGCUCUUGGAGGGGCUCGCGGCCUAUCAGCUAGUUGGUGGGGUAACGGCCCACCAAGGCUAUGACGGGUAGCUGGUCUGAGAGGACGACCAGCCACACGGGGACUGAGACACGGCCCCGACUCCUACGGGAGGCUG